UGGAGACCUAGGGGUCGCCCAGGAAUUCCGGCCCCAACAGGGAUGGGUGAGAUAACUGGCGUUUGAAGAGGCCAUUGAACCAAACUGGGAAAAGUGCUCGUUAGCCAGGGGAAGCCUCUGGAAGGCAGGCGACGACUCCCAGAUGGAAGAUUCAGUCUGUCUACAGCAGUGGCAGAAGAAGGAUCUGGGUUGGAGCCAAAAGGCAUUCCACCUAAGGUGGCGGAGGAGGCAGCUCUAGGUUCCUCCGGCAUCACCGGAUGGGAGUUCUCCAUCCUACUGCCAACCAGAAGGCAGCCCUAGAAGACCCAACUGUCCAGAGCCUCAGCUCUGUUGGAGAAAUGCCUCCAUGGCUGAAGCAAGUGCCAAGGCUAGUUCAACCCCAAGAAGUACCCAGAGCAGAGAAACCUUUGCACUCCACAGUAACAAGAACCAAAGGGUUACCAGAGGCACAGAAGGUACCCUUUUCUCUCACCCAUAAAAAUGCACGCCCUUGAGCCAGGGUAGUAUGAGGGGGACCUGGGAUCGGCCUGCUCUAAGAAAAACUGAAGCUUCCUGCUA